GUGCCUGUAGCUCAGUUGGAUAGAGCACUGGUCUACGGAACCAGGUGUCGGGGGUUCGAAUCCCUCCAGGCACG
rnacentral:tRNA from 1 species